UCAGUUACAAGGAUGAGGACGAGUUUUUAUAGCAGCGCAGAGCAGAGUAUGAGUGUCCCUUCGGGGACAUCCGCUUCUUUAGGAUUUCGGUUGAAUUGAGUUUCUGGGUUUAUUUUUUAUUUUGUUUAUUAUUUUGCCAAAGAUGCCCCCUUUUUCGUUCGGUUCACAGUGGUGAUAGUGAUUCGUGUAUUUUGGUUUUAUUUGGUGCAAUUUCGAGUUCUGAGUUGAUAUUCUUUUAGAAUUGAAGCUGCUGGAGAUUGUUAUUUGUCAAGCCAAUUAUGAACAUGAUUUGGCUUUUUUGUAAGCUAUGAAGAGGACUGAUGGGAGAAGCAGUGCAAGAUCCAUGGAAAGAGAGAGUGGUUCUGUACAUAUGAAGAUUGCAUCAAUGUAAAGGAAUUGUUUCUAGCAAUGAAGAGCUUCUCUUUCUAACUGGUGGCUGGAAUGAACCAAUCUAAUACUCCAUUUGAAUGAUAAUCAGAUACUCUAAGCUACUGAUGCUGGAAGUUCAUUGAUGAUCCGCUUAGGAUUGAGGGGAAGUGAAUAAAGAAGAAUGAUGGGAUGGGAGCUUCGGGUGUGAGUUACAGUGGUCGGUACGUUUUUGCUUAAAGAAAGAAGAAUGACCUCUAAAAUGUCACGUGCAACGCACGUGACAUAAUUUCCGUCCAAAUAGACAGAAAACUUAAGGGAUGGUGCAAAGCAUCACAUUUGAGAGUUUGUGGGGUUCAAGUGUCACUUUUUAAACUUUGAAGGUAAAAAUGUCAAAGUUGUGAUACUUUUCGGGAGGAAGUAAGAUGUAUUUUCCUCACAAAUUAUUUUAUGGAGUACCUUUUUGUUGGUGUUAUUGGGAGCCGAAUGUUAUUUAUUUUUGGCUUCCUUUCUUGUU